UACGGGGGGGGGCAAGCGUUGUUCGGAAUUACUGGGCGUAAAGGGCUCGUAGGCGGCCAACUAAGUCGGAUGUGAAAUCCCCAGGCUCAACUUGGGAACUGCAUCCGAUACUGGAUGGCUUGAAUUCGGGAGAGGGAUGCAGAAUUCCAGGUGUAGCGGUGAAAUGCGUAGAUAUCUGGAGGAAUACCGGUGGCGAAGGCGGCAUCCUGGACCGACAUUGACGCUGAGGAGCGAAAGCGUGGGGAGCGAACAGG
rnacentral:rRNA from 1 species